GAUGAACGCUGGCGGCGUGCCUAAUACAUGCAAGUCGAGCGAACGGACGAGAAGCUUGCUUCUCUGAUGUUAGCGGCGGACGGGUGAGUAACACGUGGAUAACCUACCUAUAAGACUGGGAUAACUUCGGGAAACCGGAGCUAAUACCGGAUGAUAUUUUGAACCGCAUGGUUCAAAAGUGAAAGACGGUCUUGCUGUCACUUAUAGAUGGAUCCGCGCUGCAUUAGCUAGUUGGUAAGGUAACGGCUUACCAAGGCAACGAUGCAUAGCCGACCUGAGAGGGGGAGCGGCAACAUGGAAACGGACCCACGGGCGAGCCCCAGAGGGGGGCAGCGAGGAGGAAUUUUCCCGCAAGGGGCGAAACCCGAAGGGCGAAACGCGGGGGGAUGAAAAAGGUUUUUGGAAUGGAAAAACUCUUUUAUGGGGAAAAAAAAUUUGGGAAAGUAAUUGUAACAAUCUGGGGGGUACCAAAAAAAAAACCAAGGCCUACUUACGC
rnacentral:rRNA from 1 species